rnacentral:rRNA from 1 species
UACGUAGGGUGCAAGCGUUGUCCGGAAUUAUUGGGUGUAAAGAGCUCGUAGGCGGUCUGUCGCGUCGGCUGUGAAAACUCGGGGCUCAACCCCGAGCCUGCAGUCGAUACGGGCAGACUAGAGUGCGGUAGGGGAGACUGGAAUUCCUGGUGUAGCGGUGAAAUGCGCAGAUAUCAGGAGGAACACCGGUGGCGAAGGCGGGUCUCUGGGCCGUAACUGACGCUGAGGAGCGAAAGCGUGGGGAGCAAACAGG